AUUGCAAAGGAUGGAGACUUGCCUAAAGUUAUCAGUGGGUGAAAGAGAGGAGACCAUCUGUUGAAUUAUCUGAAGCUGUAUACCAGCAACUGCAGGAGUACGAGCAGAAGAUCUUUGGAUCAAUUGGUAUUGGCAACCCAGUCCCAUCAGUCUUUGCACCAACGGGUUUGCCUUCGUUUAGAUUUGGCUUCCCAAAUAUUAACGAUCUGUUUGCCAUUCCCGCUUUCAGCAAUGUUGGUGCUACCUCCAUCUUUACUCGUCCACCUUUAGACAUUCCUCCACACGAAUUUACUUUUGGAGCUAGCCAGAUUCAAAAUAAUUACGAUGGUACACUGAACCCAAACGGGAGUGAUAUUCAAAUGGAUGGUUCUUGAUUUUCCUUUCUUCUAUCCUUUGCGAGAUGAAGCCAAGCUUGGUCAGAAGUUAAAUUAGCCUGCCCUGACAUAUGAGUUUCUUCUUAACACAUGUGGAUGUAAAGUGGGAGUAAAAUACGCGAAUGUUUUGGCUUGUAAGAUUUGACAUGUUCGCAAAUUGUGGAUGCCUUGUCUUCUCCAAUCUAAUUUUCAAAAUUGCAAUGAUCUGAUCUCAUUGCUAAUAUUAUUCAAGUGAUACAAGAGGGUAUAUCUAUCUUCUCCUGA